rnacentral:rRNA from 1 species
UACGUAGGGGGCAAGCGUUGUCCGGAAUUACUGGGCGUAAAGCGCGUGUAGGCGGGACGGCAAGCUCGAUGUGAAAGCCCCGGGCUUAACCUGGGAAUUGCAUUGAGGACUGGCGUGCUCGAGUGCGGCAGAGGGGGGUGGAAUUCCACGUGUAGCAGUGAAAUGCGUAGAGAUGUGGAGGAACACCGAUGGCGAAGGCAGCCCCCUGGGCCGACACUGACGCUCAUGCACGAAAGCGUGGGGAGCAAACAGG